GAAUUUUGGGCAAUGGGGGAAACCCUGACCCAGCAACGCCGCGUGAAGGAUGAAGUAUUUCGGUAUGUAAACUUCGACAGAAUAGGAAGAAUAAAUGACGGUACUAUUUAUAAGGUCCGGCUAACUACGUGCCAGCAGCCGCGGUAAUACGUAGGGACCAAGCGUUGUUCGGAUUUACUGGGCGUAAAGGGCGCGUAGGCGGCCCGACAGGUCACUUGUGAAAUCUCCGAGCUUAACUCGGAACGGUCAAGUGAAACCAACAGGCUAGAGUGCAGAAGGGGCAAUCGGAAUUCUUGGUGUAGCGGUGAAAUGCGUAGAUAUCAAGAGGAACACCUGAGGUGAAGACGGGUUGCUGGGCUGACACUGACGCUGAGGCGCGAAAGCCAGGGGAGCAAA
rnacentral:rRNA from 1 species